CGACCAGACUCCUACGGGAGGCAGCAGUGGGGGAUAUUGCACAAUGGGGGAAACCCUGAUGCAGCGACGCCGCGUGAGUGAAGAAGUAAUUCGUUAUGUAAAGCUCUAUCAGCAGGGAAGAAAAUGACGGUACCUGAGUAAGAAGCCCCGGCUAACUACGUGCCAGCAGCCGCGGUAAUACGUAGGGGGCAAGCGUUAUCCGGAUUUACUGGGUGUAAAGGGAGCGUAGACGGCCAUGCAAGCCAGGGGUGAAAUCCCCGCGCUCAACGUGGGAACUGUCUUUGAAACUGGCAAACUGGAGUGUGUGAGAGGAUAGUGGAAUUCCAGGUGUAGGAGUGAAAUCCGUAGAUAUCUGGAGGAACAUCAGUGGCGAAGGCGACUAUCUGGCACAUAACUGACGCUGAGGAGCGAAAGCGUGGGUAGCAAACAGGAUUAGAUACCCCCGUA
rnacentral:rRNA from 1 species